rnacentral:rRNA from 1 species
CGUAGGUAACCUGCCUCUUAGCGGGGGAUAACUAUUGGAAACGAUAGCUAAUACCGCAUAAAAGUUGACAUUGCAUGAUGUUGAUUUUGAAAGAUGCAAUUGCAUCACUAAGAGAUGGACCUGCGUUGUAUUAGCUAGUUGGUGAAGUAACGGCUCACCAAGGCGACGAUACAUAGCCGACCUGAGAGGGUGAUCGGCCACACUGGGACUGAGACACGGCCCAG